rnacentral:rRNA from 1 species
GACGAACGCUGGCGGCGUGCUUAACACAUGCAAGUCGAACGGAAAGGCCCCUUUGGGGGUACUCGAGUGGCGAACGGGUGAGUAACACGUGAGUAACCUGCCCUUGACUUCGGGAUAACUUCAGGAAACUGGGGCUAAUACCGGGUAGGAAUCCUUGCUGCAUGGUGGGGGUUGGAAAGCUUCGGCGGUUUUGGAUGGACUCGCGGCUUAUCAGCUUGUUGGUGGGGUAGUGGCUUACCAAGGCUUUGACGGGUAGCCGGCCUGAGAGGGCGACCGGCCACAUUGGGACUGAGAUACGGCCCAGACUCCUACGGGAGGCAGCAGUGGGGAAUAUUGCACAAUGGGCGGAAGCCUGAUGCAGCAACGCCGCGUGCGGGAUGACGGCCUUCGGGUUGGAAACCGCUUUCAGCAGGGGCGAAGCUUGUGGUGACGGUACCUGCAGAAGAAGCACCGGCUAACUACGUG